ensembl:lncRNA
GCUGCUUAUAGAUUUCAAUAAGAAGAGAUCAGAGUCUAGAUGCUGGUGUUGGAGAUGAAGAUGGAGGCUUGGAUGGAGCCUGAGUGACGAUCAAGAGGCGGAGAUGGGGAGGAGGUUGGUUGCAUGAAGGCAUCUGCGAGGGAUGAGAAGUGAAAUUUAAAGUACAUGAGGUGAAGCCUGGCAAAAACAUGACUGGAUUAGACCAGUGAUGUCCCAAUCAACUUGACAGAGUGAAAAAGUGGAAUAAAUGAAAAAAAAAAGAAAAAAAGCAGAACUUCAGUAAAGUAAAGUUGAUUGGAUCAGCAGUGAGCAGAAAUGGCAUCUUGGCUUGGACUGUUGCUGAUGAUGUGUGGAGUAUCUCAUGGUGUGGAAACUUACUGUGAUGGCAGACAGAAUGGGACCCAAUGUUAUGGAGCUUUGGGAGGAACUGUGAACAUCCAACUGAUGAGCCAAAUCUUAGAAAUACCCAGAUAUCAGCUGUUCAGAAAUUCAGUAAAAAUACGAGAUGUCAAAAAUAAUACAGUUCUUCCUAAUGUCACAGAACAUAGGCUGCUCUUUGUUCGCAGUAAUGUAACAUUUAGGAUCAAUAAUCUCAACAAGAAUGACAGUGGUAAUUAUACCCUUCAAUUCUUUUGUUCAGAUGGAACAUUAUCAGGUCUGUGGACUCUACGGUUGUUUAUUCAAGCUCCUGUGUCCUCUGUCCUGCUGGUCUCUGAGUGUCUGUCCCAGGGAGAGAUGAGGGUGUCCUGCUCCUCUGAGGGAGGGGACAGUCCUCAGUACAGCUGGACUCUGGAUGGACGCACACUGACAGAUGCUGAGCUUUCUGUAAAUAAUGAAACUAACAACAUCACUCUGAAACAGAACGUCUCAGGAUGUCUGGUCUGCUCAGUCAGGAACAACGUCAGUGAUGUCUCCAAAGAACAGUGUAUAGCUACCUGUGAAGCAGAUUUUUUGCCACUGAUCAGUGGUGUGGUUUCAGCACUGCUCAUUUUAUUAGUUGUGGGUGUAGCACUUGUUUGUGUUCAGAGGAAAAAACAAAAGAACAAAUCAACAAAAAAAGAGAAAGAAGACCAAGAAGUAAUGUAUGCUGAUGUUAGGGUCAUGCAGCAGCAGGGCAAGCCAGUGGAUGAAGGAGGAGAAAAGGUGUUGUAUGGCCAAGUCAAGUUUUCAUAGUGAUCUCAUCACUCUGAACAGGAUUGUGAUUGAACAGGCGUGUUUAUAUGUCAACAUUCCCCAAAAAAUCAGUGAUGUCAAAAUGCAUAAAUGUCUUUUCGCUUGAUUUCCU